rnacentral:rRNA from 1 species
ACGUACACUCCUACGGGAGGCAGCAGUGGGGAAUAUUGGACAAUGGGCGCAAGCCUGAUCCAGCCAUGCCGCGUGAGUGAUGAAGGCCCUAGGGUUGUAAAGCUCUUUCACCGGUGAAGAUAAUGACGGUAACCGGAGAAGAAGCCCCGGCUAACUUCGUGCCAGCAGCCGCGGUAAUACAAAGGGGGCUAGCGUUGUUCGGAUUUACUGGGCGUAAAGCGCACGUAGGCGGACUAUUAAGUCAGGGGUGAAAUCCCGGGGCUCAACCCCGGAACUGCCUUUGAUACUGGUAGUCUUGAGUUCGAGAGAGGUGAGUGGAAUUCCGAGUGUAGAGGUGAAAUUCGUAGAUAUUCGGAGGAACACCAGUGGCGAAGGCGGCUCACUGGCUCGAUACUGACGCUGAGGUGCGAAAGCGUGGGGAGCAAACAGGAUUAGAUACCCCUGUAGUCCC